CCCAAGGACCAUGCUUGCCUCAAAGCCAAACACGAUGAACAUGAUAACACGACCUAGAACGGAAUCGGUGCAACGCGUUUAAAAUCCGAGAUUUAGACGAAGAAAACAAGCGUAGCAAGGAACGGGAAGGCUCCAGGUUCGGCAUCGAAAGACAAUCAUCAUUCACCAUAUAACAACUCGAAAUCCAUUGUGAAAUAGAAUACUCCAAAAGCUCGUUCUUGCACACGAAAUCGAAGGGGAACAAAAGGAGGAGAGAAACUCACCAAUUCGAUGCCUCAGAUGUGUUCACGUCUAUCUUCAUUGUUCAAUUCGAUUUGCACCGUUGACGAUGAAGGUUUAGGUUUCACGGUGUAACACUCAGAGAUGGAGAUUUCCGGAAAUUCCUUGAUUAUUCUUGUCCUUUCUCCAGUUUCGUCGCAUGAUGAAGGGAGGGUAUUAGUGUUGUUCGACGCAUUGCGAUGAAGCGUGCAAGGCCCUUGUAUUCCUAUUCUGGAGAGUGAACAGAAAUGUGUCUGAAGCGGUUUUGGUGACUCCCGAUCGACGGCGAUGAAGGCUUCCCCCAAAACGCCGUCUGGCUUGUAUUUGUGUUCCACCGAAUUGAGGUUGAAACGGACAGACAUGGUGAUGGCUAGGUUGAGCUGCAAGGUGGUUCGCAGCAUAGUUGCCGUGUUCGACCUUGUUUUCAUGAUAUGGUUAGUUGAUAUGUUUUGAGGAGUUAGUUUGUUUUCUUAAAUCUGUUAUGGAAACUUCAAUUCAGUUAAAGGUUUUUUGGUAAAAGGUUGCAGGGUGAGUCGAGUGUCCGAAAAAGUGGUUAUGGAUCUGUUAUAGUUUUUUGUUUCUGUUAGGAUUGGGUUCAAGUGUGGAAAAUGGUUAAAAAAAUUAUGUUAUAAACUUCUGUUGUAAAGUUAAUCGAUUCUGGUGUGUGUUGUUUUCUCUUA